rnacentral:lncRNA from 10 species
GACUUUCCCAUUCCACAGUAUGAUUUCACAUUCGAAAAACCUCUAUUCUUUUCUGAAAGUGAUUCUAACAGAAAGUUGACCCAGGGAAAUUUUAGCAGCAUGUUAGGCUGCUGGGUAGAACCCAUUUUAGUUCUGUCUUUCAGCCUAGCACACUCCACAUUCUCAGACAUCGCUUCUUGAGAGUGUACUAACCAUCAACUAUCAUUUCACAAUGGAGAAGGGUAGGCUGGAACUUGGAUGUGCAUUGGCAGGUCUGCAUUGGCAGACCAGAUGUCACCAUACAGACAACAAUAUCCUACAGGACAGAAAAGCUUGAAAGUAAAAGAAACUUUGGUGUUUGAAUAAACCACACAUUUGUCCUGGACAACCUGCCUAUCGUUGAACUGUUACAUGAGAGAAAAAGAGAUUUCUCUCUUAUUUGAACAAUUGCAUUUUCAAGUCUUUUUGUUACAGCAGCAUAACUGAUACCCUAACCCUGACAAAUACAUUUUUAAACAAAAGGAGGAAUGCUACUAUCGUACUCUAUGCUGGUCCAGUCUUACUUGGGGUGCAGUAUUCUCAUCUGUGAAUCACAUUUCAAGGGGCCUAAAGACAAAGUAGAAGUGUUCAGAUAACAGCAACAUGAUUGGUGAGAAAUUCAAAGUUGAAGAAACUGGAAGAGCAGAUUUAGAGUAAGUAGGAGUGCCACUUUCAAAUGUCUGAGGAACUGGCCUGUGAAAGAAUGAUUCACUUUGUUCUGUGUAGUUUCAGUAGAUAGAAGUAUGGUUCAACGGGAAAACUGAUUUUGCUGAAGAGAAAGAUUUCUGGCUGUCAGGUCUGCAUAGACAUUGGAGGCACUGAGUUCCCUGCUCAUGGAGAUAUUUUUCACAGAGCCUGGAUAAUCAUUUGGCUGGAUUUGUAACAACUGUGUAUCAUACAGCAUGAAAAUGCAUUUUCUAGCUUCCCUUGAAGUGAAAUGUGAGCAAAAAUGAUGCCAGCCACUCCCAGACCGGCCCAUAGAAACCUCCCAUAUUCUUUCUUCUUCUGCUGCUGGAUAUUGACACAGGGGAUGACUUUGAAAGCUGAGUAUUGAAGAUGGCAGAAGCUGUCUUUCAGCCUUGGUCCCUGAACAACAUGUUGAGCAGAUCCCGUGGUAAUCUGGAACUGCCCUGGACUGUGUAAAGGAAUCAACUUCUUUAUACAACAAUGGCAGAGAAGUUCUACAAUAUGGAGUCCUGUGAUAAAAGGUAAUGCCAAAAGUUUGUCCAAUGGUGACUUAUGGUUCAGUCCACUCAUUUUUGGUUUUUAGAUUCUUCAGUGUCCUUCUUUUAUCUGUUUCUAAAGUUACAAACUACCAGGAAAUUUCUCAUGGGAAAAAAAAAUCUGUAUCUUCGGAUUAUUUUACAAAUCGGAAGACUAGAACAUGUAUAUCAAAACCAGCUGGCGGCCCAGCACAGUGGCUCAUGCCUGUAAUACCAGCACUUUGGGAGGCCAAGGUGGGUGGAUCACCUGAGGUCAGGAGUUCGAGACCAGCCUGGUCAACAUGGCGAAACCCUGUUGCUAAAAAUACAAAAAUUAGCUGGGCUUGGUGGCGCAUGCCUGUAGUCCCAGCUACACAGGAGGCUGAGGCAGGAGAAUCACUUGAACCCUGGAGGCCAAGGUUUCAGUGAGCUGCAAUCGUGCCACUGCACUCCAGCCUGGGUAACAGAGCCAGACUCCAUCUCAAAACAAACACACACACACACACACACACACACACACACACACACACACACACACAAACCAACAACUGGCACCAGGGGGUCUUCCUUAGACAGGUCAUACCUUCUCCAGUCCUACAGACACAGAGUCCCUUUUGAUCUCUAAUGCUGAUGUGCACGUCAAAUGCCACGUGUCUUUGUGACAUGGCUUUUUCUAAAGCUGGUCCUACAGGCUGUUUGCACCUGCGAUCCCUGGAAUCACUUCAGUAAAAUCAAUGAUUAACAAAGAGCUACUCUCCGGCCCUUUCCUGAGAGCUUGUUUUGAAGAAGUUAGAACUCUUUGCAAGGCAGUAAACCCUUCCUGGGAGUUGGCAGGAAAAGCCAGGAAGUCUUCUCAUUAUUAUUGAGCACUGAUCUUCCUUGUAGGGGCAUAUACCUAGCAUACCAAAAUUUACUCUCUGCAGCCCCCAACUUCCUGUCAGUAACACAAAUGUAGGACAUAAGUGAAGCUUUGCGAAAAAGGAGGAUAGGAUUUAUUGUUCUGUUUUUAAUUGAAAGCCCAAAUAGCGAUAUUGAUUGGUUUGAUUCCACCAGAGAGUUAAACAAUUUCCUUCCACAUCCCCAAAUCCCCAACUAUGCAGAGCUGCAGCGGUCACCACCAGCCUCCUCAAUGUUGUGCAGGUCCAGCUGACUGACCCACCAGCUGGUGACCAGCAGAGCAGAGGAGGAGCAAGCACAGGACCUUCACCUUUCCUGCCAGGUGUGGGCGCCAGUCAAGGGGACUCCUGAGAGACUACUUGGUGUCUGCCUUGGAGCCAGAAACUCCUGACCACUCUCUGGCAAACUCAGGCGUGAUUCUUUCCUUGCUAAGCCUCAGUUUCUUCAUCUACAAAGGGAGG